rnacentral:lncRNA from 1 species
GGGAAAAUUGGGGGAGGUUUUGGGGGAAUUGGGGGAGGUUGGGGGGGGAACUGGGGGGGUUCGGGGCUGCAGGGCGCCUCCCGCAGCCCCCGCCGCUUCCUUAGGGCUGUACCGGGAGUACCGGGGGCUGAAGCACCGCGGGGAGCUCGCCCCGUGCCCGCCGGCUGAGGGGAGCCCGGCCAUGGAGCAGGACUCCGGCUGCUGGGGCGCGCACCUCAACCGCCAGCCCAAGGCCCCCACGUCGAGCGCCACCAACCAGCCCGUGCCGGCGGCGUCGGCGCAGCACUUCGGGAGGAAGCUUAAAGCCAACCUGGGCGCCGCCAUAAAGGUCAGGCUGGGGGGCAGCUCCCCGAUGUGGGCGCUUCCGAUGGGGCACGGCACCCGUUUCCUAGGGUUUUUAAGCCCUGCGGGGUCGGAGAACCAAAAACCCCUCGUUGCUUCCCCCCAGGAGAGGCCGCCGGUGCCCAGGAGGACGCUG